rnacentral:rRNA from 1 species
GGGGAAUUUUCCGCAAUGGGCGAAAGCCUGACGGAGCAAUACCGCGUGAGGGAGGAAGGCUCUUGGGUUGUAAACCUCUUUUCUCAGGGAAGAUAAUGACGGUACUUGAGGAAUCAGCAUCGGCUAACUCCGUGCCAGCAGCCGCGGUAAUACGGAGGAUGCAAGCGUUAUCCGGAAUGAUUGGGCGUAAAGCGUUCGCAGGUGGCAUUGAAAGUCUGCUGUUAAAGAGUUUGGCUCAACCAAAUACAGGCAGUGGAAACUACAAAGCUAGAGUGCGGUAGGGGCAGAGGGAAUUCCUGGUGUAGCGGUGAAAUGCGUAGAGUUCAGGAAGAACACCGGUGGCGAAAGCGCUCUGCUAGACCGCAACUGACACUGAGGGACGAAAGCUAGGGGAGCGAAUGGGAUUAGAUACCCCAGUAGUC